rnacentral:rRNA from 1 species
CCAAAGGACGUGGAUAAACUCGGGAAACUGAGGCUAAACCGCGAUAGACCAAUAUACCUGGAAUGGUUUUUGAUUAAAAUCUAUAUGGCCUUUGGAUUGGACUGCGACCGAUCAGGCUGUUGGUGAGGUAAUGGCCCACCAAACCUGUAACCGGUACGGGCUCUGAGAGGAGGAGCCCGGAGAUGGGUACUGAGACAAGGACCCAGGCCCUAUGGGGCGCAGCAGGCGCGAAACCUCUGCAAUAGGCGAAAGCCUGACAGGGUUACUCUGAGUGACUUUCGCUAAGAAAGUCUUUUGACACCUCUAAAAAUGGUGUAGAAUAAGGGGUGGGCAAGUCUGGUGUCAGCCGCCGCGGUAAUACCAGCACCCCGAGUGGUCGGGACGAUUAUUGGGCCUAAAGCAUCCGUAGCCGGUCUUACAAGUCCUCCGUUAAAUCCAACUGCUUAACAGAUGGGCCGCGGAGGAUACUAUAAGACUAGGAGGCAGGAGAGGCAAGCGGUACUCAGUGGGUAGGGGUAAAAUCCGUUGAUCCAUUGAAGACCACCAGUGGCGAAGGCGGCUUGCCAGAAUGCGCUCGACGGUGAGGGAUGAAAGCUGGGGGAGCAAACCGGAUUAGAUACCCGGGUAGUCCCAGCUGUAAACGAUGCAGACUCGGUGAUGGACUAGCUUCAUGCUAGUCCAGUGCCGCAGGGAAGCCGUUAAGUCUGCCGCCUGGGUAGUACGGACGCAAGACUGAAACUUAAAGGAAUUGGCGGGGGAGCACCACAAGGGGUGAAGCCUGCGGUUCAAUUGGAUUCAACGCCGGA